UACGUAGGGGGCAAGCGUUGUCCGGAAUCAUUGGGCGUAAAGAGCGUGUAGGCGGUCCGGUAAGUCGGCUGUGAAAGUCCAGGGCUCAACCCUGGGAUGCCGGUCGAUACUGCCGGACUAGAGUUCGGAAGAGGCGAGUGGAAUUCCCCGGUGUAGCGGUGAAUGCGCAGAUAUCGGGAGGAACACCUAUGGCGAAGGCAGCUCGCUGGGACGUUACUGACGCUGGAGACGCGAAAGCGUGGGGAGCAAACAGG
rnacentral:rRNA from 1 species